AGCUAUAUGAAGAUGGACUACUUCCGACUCAUUUACAGGUCUCCUUACGGCAGGCGUCAUGAUCUCUGUUCCAGAAGAUCUGUGUCAUCAGUGGAAAGCCUAGAUGAGAAAUUGCUCAGCUGAGGACUCCGAUAAGAUCCUUGUCCAUGAGCUAAAGAGUAACUGGGAAUCAAAGUUUGAUGGCUAAUCUUGAUGGCAGCUCUGCCAUGACUACCUAAAGGUACCUGGAGGACUCAAGCAAACUUGACCAUAUGGAAAACUUGAACAGGAAAUAACCUGAAAAUCCAGAUGACAGAGACAUAACC
ensembl:lncRNA